CAAUUGAAGAGUUGCCGUCGCCCACCGCCGCCGCCUCCUACCGCAUGCACCUCGCCGGCGACGGCCAUUGGCUCCGUUGGAUUCCCCCAACGUCCCCUGUAUCCACCGCGCACCCGCUGUCCGCGUCUGCCCCUGGCUCUGGUUCAAUUUACGCAUCCAGAUACGAUGAAGGUAGGGCUCGCCAUGGAAGCGGUCGCGGAAGGCUGCUGGACAGAAGGCGUCACUGUGCCUCGUGGGGAUCAAGGUCUGAAUCCAACUAUUAUUCCUCGCAGUAUUCUAAUAGUAACCUGAUCAUUAUGCAUAUGUUAUCGAUCUAGCAAUUAGUUGUUGAAUGGUGUGAUUGUUGUUUGUGAGGUGCUAAUAGGAGUUUCAGGAUAAGUAAAACCACAUCUUGGACGGGAGCCGACAGUGGAUUCACGAUGGGAUUUUCUUUGACUCCUCCAAGUGAUCAGGGGUGGGAGAUUUCGGUGGAUUUGUUUGCUACAACUUUAUGGGGGGUGGUCGCUUCAAGGAUCAGGUACCUGAUGCUUGACAUGUUGCUUGGAGAAUAGGGGUCCGGUGUUCAACACCACCUUCCGCCAUCUAUCCCAGAUGCUCAUCGCACGCCCAUCCACUUUGGAAGCACGCUGGAGUCAGUAUGUGUGAUCAUGUGGCUCUACCUUGUUUAUCUGGUUGCAUGUAUACUCACAUGCGAAAUAUUAGGUGUCACUCAAGUUGAGGAAUUGAAGGAGGCUUGAAAGAAUGCACAUGGUUGGAAAUUUAUAUUCCUUUUGAUUUCAUAAACUGGUUCAGUUUUCUGCCAAACUCAGUACUAUGUCGUUGGUUUCAUGAACUGAAAAGUCCAUAGUUGAUAACUGGUUCAUAAACUAAAAGUCCCAAACGGCUGAGUUUGAUUUGUAAAGAUACACAGGCUGGCGGCGCUAGGCGCGGGGAUGGGGAGGCCGAGAGGGAGCGAGAAAAAGGGGGUGUGACGAAAACAACACUGUUGUCGGCGGUGGUGGCCGCAGCAAGGCACGGCUAUUUCCUGUGUAUCUUUAUAAUGUACAAGUCUCGUUUUUGUUCUGCCUGCAAGGUGUUGGGAAAUCCAUGCUUUGUGCUGGAAGGAACGCUCUAUUAACUUUUUACUACAUUUUUAUGUUGGCUAAAAAUCUAUUCAUGUCUUUGAUCUACAUUUGUCUAUUAGAUUUUGAGAACAUAAGAAAUGAUCUACUAAGUAAGUUGGCAGAUGAGUACUUAAACUCAUGUAAGGAUUUUGAGGUCUUUGUCUCGUUACUGAAGGUUAAAAUUGUGGAGUUGAAGACGAAGAUGGAUAGCUUGUUGAAUGCUAUCAGCUUAAGUGCAUGGAAGUAUACUAGGAGCAUCAGAGAGUCAUCGGUGACCGGAAGAGCAUCAUGCCUAAGGUUAUGGUCAUGAUGGUUGUCUGGAUGGCAUGAAUGGAAGUUGCAUGGCCUGCAAAGAGUUUGGUAGAGAACAAGGUGGACAUUCCCUGAAUGAACCUUCUGCCUGCCUUGUUGAGAACAUAUGGUUUUGCUUGAACUAUAUGUGCCAAACUUGGAUGAGGUUACACAUUGCCAUGUAAGAUCUUUUUUUUUUGUGAUCAGUCAGCCAUAUAGCUAAUUGCAAGCUUUAUCAGAGUAUGUCCAGUCAUAAUUGCAAGCUAGCGAGUGUCUAGAUACAUCUAAAUUUUAACAAACUUGUGACAUCCUUUUACGGAGAGUGGUAGUACUAUGGGUUAUUUUAGCAUGACUUCCGAACUAAAGAUAGACUACAGCCAGUCAAGAGCCAAUAUUUGCGGCUGAAUUUGAGAACUUAUGGAGCUUUACUAUUUGACAUGUUUCUCAUCUUCCGAACAAUAAAGCAGUGCACCUGAAAUUAGUUUCAGGGGGCAUUCAAUGUUCUGAUCUGCAACUUUUGUUUUUCCCAUGUAAUAUUUACCUUGAAUGGUAUUUCAGUUUAUCGCUGAUUACCUUAACAAAGUUCCUAUUUCUUUCUGAGGCAGGUUUCAUAUAGUUAAAUAUCUGUGGCAGGUGGUGAUGCAGAAUUUGCACCAAGAGUACGUCGAUGAAUUUUUUACAAGUUUUCUUAGUUAGCCUGCUAAUAAUAAUAGGAGCAAUUGCAAAGAUGGUAUCUAUAGGUGAAAUAGUGCGAGUAUCGAGAAGAGUAUGCAUCUAAUCAUCUGGGGCGAGACCUUAAUCUUAAGUACCACAAAUGUCCGAUUUAUGCAAUGAACGAUGCUGAAAUGUGAUGCGUUACUAAUAGCCAAGUUGAUUAGCCUGAAUCAGACUCUUGAAGCUGUCUCCUAGGAGGGAUCCUUUCCCCUCAUCAGCGUCAAACAUUUUCUUGGGGAAUUCAAAUGAAGUCAGUACAAGCUACUGAAAUACUCUCAGAUGAGUAGUUGGACACGUUAGAAGCAAAUGAAGAUGCAAGCCCUGGCUGUCACGUGUCAGCAAAUGAUCUGACU